GACGAACGCUGGCGGCGUGCUUAACACAUGCAAGUCGUACGGGAAGGCCCUGCUUUUGUGGGGUGCUCGAGUGGCGAACGGGUGAGUAACACGUGAGUAACCUGCCCUUGACUUUGGGAUAACUUUAGGAAACUGGGGCUAAUACCGGAUAGGAGCUCCUGCUGCAUGGUGGGGGUUGGAAAGUUUCGGCGGUUGGGGUUGGACUCGCGGCGUAUCCGCUUGUUGGUGGGGUAGUGGCUUACCAAGGCUUUGCCGGGUAGCCGGCCUGAGAGGGUGACCGGCCACGUUGGCACGGGGAUGAGGCCCAGGCAACUACGCGAGGCGGCAGUGGGGAAUAUUGCACAAUGGGCGGAGGCCUGAUGCAGCAACGACGCGUGCGGGAUGACGGCCUUCGGGUUGUAAACCGCUGUCGCCUGUGACGAAGCGUGAGUGACGGUAAUCGAUAAAGAAGCACCGGCUAACUACGUG
rnacentral:rRNA from 1 species